UGGAAAAAUUGGGCAUAUUAAAAAGAAUUCUAGGGUGAAGCUUUCUAAAGCAAAAAUUGCAAGUGAAGACAAUGAAUCACUGAAUUGGGAGCAAUGCUUCACCACUGAAGUAGUUGAAGAGAGGAAAAGCGUUGUUGCUAAACCAGACAUUGCUCAAGCUCUUUGCAACCAUGAAAGCUACAAGCAAGAGUGGAUUAUUGAUUCUGACUACUCUCAUCAUGUCACCAGAAAUUAUUCAACAUGAUAUAGAGAGAGUUAUAAUAAUACUGACAACUCUACUUAUCUAGUAGUGAAUGAUGGAGUUGUGAAGAUUGGUGUUGAUGAUACAAACAUCAAACUAGAUUAUAU
rnacentral:lncRNA from 1 species